rnacentral:rRNA from 1 species
CAGCAGCCGCGGUAAGACAGAGGAUGCAAGCGUUAUCCGGAAUUACUGGGCGUAAAGCGCACGUAGGCGGCUUUGUAAGUUAGAGGUGAAAGCCUGGAGCUUAACUCCAGAACUGCCUUUAAGACUGCAUCGCUUGAAUCCGGGAGAGGUGAGUGGAAUUCCGAGUGUAGGGGUGAAAUUCGUAGAUAUUCGGAAGAACACCAGUGGCGAAGGCGGCUCACUGGACCGGUAUUGACGCUGAGGUGCGAAAGCGUGGGGAGCAAACAGGAUUAGAUACCCCGGUAGUCCCUGUCUCUUAUAC